GGACAGUGAGUGACGUUUUGUUUUCUAGGCCCGUUUGCCUGUGAGUGACAUCUAUGUGGGACUUGCAUUCCCCAGUCCCUCUACAGGAAGGAGCUCUGUGAGCAGCAGGAGGCUGACCUCACCACCCUGAGAGAUGGAACAUUGUUCCUGCCUCCCUACUAGGAAGCAGAACUGUCUGCCAGUGAACACAGAUAGUCUUGGUUAUCUGGUUAUGAGUCUCAAAAUGGACUCUGGACAGCGGAAGCAACAUUGCCUCGGAACCUGGAACUCAAAGAUCCUCUGUUGGUUCCACCUGCCCAGCCUAGCGGGUAGGACUAGAUGAAGCCAAGGCUCUUAGGAACAGGAAAUGGAAAACGCCUGAGAGCCAUGGCAGAGCAUUUGGGCUAAGAAGAGGGCCUGCGUAGUGCUGGGGACACUGGUUCUUCUGGGUCUGACACGGGGAAUACCACAUAUGCAAGGGGAAGCUGGAGCAGCUGGAAGAACAGGAGGGUGUGGAAGAUGGGGCAACCUCACUCUUGCUCUGAGAAUGUCUGUGGCUCACGAGUCCCUUUCCCUUCCCUGGACUGGCACCACCAUGUGGACACAGCGAGCCCCUCAGCUCCUUCAGCUGAGUACAUGGUCUCAUGAAAAAGUGGUAGCAAAUGCUAGUGUGGCUGAUACAGCAAGUCAACCACCAUACCAGGGUGGAUGUGCAGGUGUCUAGCCAGCUGCACCCUGCACACUAGGGCAGCCGGGCCACCCCACCACCACCUUGGUGGAAACAGGGCAGAAAUGAAACUCCAGACUCAGCCACCUGUACCUGUCUCCUGCAGUCCUCGGUGGGCCCUGUCCCUUUGACUAGAACAUGUUUCAACACUGUCAUCAAAGAGACACAGCAGGCAUCUCUGUGUCAACACAGAUACUGGCCUCCCUUCUAGCCUGUCCAUGGCCGGAAUUAUAAAGCCAAAUGUGUCUGGCUGGUAGCCUGCUAUGUGAGCAAUAGAAAAAAGCCAAAAAUAAACACUGCAAGUUGAUGACUCUGGACCAUUGGUGGAAACCGUGCCCAGAUUGGGGCAAGAAUGAGGGAACCAUGGCCUAUGGAGCAUACAGCAUCCAUGGGCCCCAGUGUGGCCAUGAAGGUGUGACUAUGCAUACAGCAUCCAUGAGCCCUGGUAUGGCCAUGAAGGUGUGAUCAUGCAUACAGCAUCCAUGGGCCCUGGUGUGGCCAUGAAGGUGUGACUAUGCAUACAGCAUCCAUGGGCCCUGGUAUGGCUGUAAAGGUGUGACCAUGCACACAGCAUCCAUGGGCCCUGGUGUGGCUGUAAAGGUGUGACCGUACAUACAAUAUUUGUGGGCCCUGAUAUGGAUGUGAAGGUAUGACUCUAUCUCCGGGCUGUCCUUCCUGGAGCAUCACAGACCUCUCUGCCCAGAGUAGUACCUUGAUGCCUGGGCUUGGAGAGUAUCCCUCAUUACCUGCUUCCUCGAGGACCACAGUGGGGCUUGGCACAUAAAAGCUGCAUGCAAUGGUGCACAUCUGUAAUCCCAGUGCAGAGGAGUGGAGACAGGAGGGCCCCUGGGUCUCACUGGCCAGCCAGACUAGCCAAAUCGGUGAGCUCCAGGCCAGUGAGAGACACUGUCUCCAAAACUAAGGUGGGUACAGGCUGGUAAGAUUUAUUGUUAACACAACACAACCUAAAGUCACCUAGGAAGAAGGAGACUCAUCUGAAUAAUUAGCCAAACCAGAUUGCCGUGUGGCCACGUCUGGGACAGAUCAUCUUGACUGAUGCUUGACGUGAGAGGGAACAGCCCACUGUGGGUGGCACCAUCCCAGGCAGGUGGUCCUGGGCUGGAUGAGAAAGCUAGUUGAGCAUGAGACAAGGAGCAAGCCAGUAAGCAGUGUUCUUUCACGUCUGCCUCAGGUUCCUGCCUUAAAUCCCUGCCCUGACUUCCUUCAGUGAUGGACUGUGACCUGUAAGUGGAAAUAAACCCUUUCCUCCCCAA